AACGUAGGUGGCGAGCGUUAUCCCGGGAAUACUGGGCGUAAAGGCGUGAUGCAGGCGGGCUAGGCAAGUGGGUGGUAUGAAAGCUCCCGGCUCAACCGGGAAGGGUUAUGCCAGACUGCUAGUCUUGAGUGCGAGAGAGGAGCGUGGAAUCCGGUGUAGUGGUGAAUGCGUAGAGAUCCGGAGGAACCAGGAGGCGAGGC
rnacentral:rRNA from 1 species